rnacentral:rRNA from 1 species
GGUUCAGGACGAACGCUGGCGGCGUGCCUAACACAUGCAAGUCGAGCGGUCCAGCACACAAUUUUAAUUGAGUGCUGGAUAGCGGCGGACGGGUGGGUAACGCGUGAGCAAUCUGCCUCGUACAGGGGGAUAACAGCCGGAAACGGUUGCUAAUACCCCAUGAGACCACAAUAUCGCAUGGUAAAGAGGUCAAAGGAGUAAUCCGGUAUGAGAUGAGCUCGCGUCCCAUUAGCUAGUUGGUGGAGUAACGGUUCACCAAGGCGACGAUGGGUAGCCGACCUGAGAGGGUGAUCGGCCACACUGGGACUGAGACACGGCCCAGACUCCUACGGGAGGCAGCAGUGGGGAAUAUUGCGCAAAUGGGGGGAACCCUGACGCAGCAACGCCGCGUGAGUGAAGAAGGUCUUCGGGUCGUAAAACUCUGUCAUUGGGGAAGAAAAAAUGACGGUACCCAAUGAGGAAGCCCCGGCUAACUACGUGCCAGCCGCCGC